CACUAAAUAGGAGUCCUACUACAGUAGUAAAAGAAGUCACACCUGAAGAAGCAUGGAGUGGAGUCAAACCCUCAGUGGGGUAUUUUCGAGUGUUUGGUUGCAUUGACCAUGUACAUGUACCACAUGAGAAAAGAACAAAGCUGGAUUCAAGGAGCACAAAAUGUGUACUGUUGGGAGUCAGUGAAGAAACAAAAGGUUACAGAAUGUUUAAUCCUCUCACAAAGAAGUUGAUAAUUAGUCGUGAUGUCAUCUUUGAAGAAAAUGCAACUUGGAACUGGGCAGAAGACAACACUAGUAUACUGCUACGCUGGGGAGAUAAUGAUGACAGUAUACAUGAAGAAGAAUUAGAAGAAGAUGAGGAGCAGACACAAGAACAGAUUAGGGAAAUUGGAGAUGAAGCAGGUACUGGAGAUGCUGAAAUUGGAGAUGAAGCAGGUACUGGAGAUGCUGUUGAAGAACCUGAAGCAGAAGAACAAAAUGAGCAUAUUCAAGCUGCAGGUGUCAGAAAUCGAAGAGCACCACACUGGAUGGAGGAUUAUGUUAUGGGAGCAGGUUUGUCUGAAGAUUAUGUCAUGGGAGCAAGCUUAUCUGAAGAAGAGGAAACACAAAAUAUGGUGUUAUACACUACUACUAGAGAUCCACACACCUAUGAAGAAGCUAAAAAAAAUCACCAAUGGAGAGAAGCCAUGGACAAUGAAAUUGUUGCGAUAGAAAGGAAUGACUCAUGGGAACUAACUGUGCUGCCGAAUAAUUCAAGGAAGAUUGGGGGUGAAAUGGAUAUACAAGACAAAGCUUAAUGAAAAAGGUGAAGUUGACAAAUACAAGGCCAGACUUGUAGCAAAGGGAUAUGCACAACAACAUGGAAUUGACUACACUGAGGUAUUCGCACCAGUAGCAAGAUGGGACACAAUUCAGAUGGUUCUAGCAAUAGCAGCACAAAGAAAAUGGAAGGUGUAUUAACUGGAUGUAAAGAGUGCAUUUCUUCAUGGGAAAUUAGACGAAGAUGUAUACGUAGAGCAACCUCUCGGCUAUGAAAAAAAAAGAGAAGAACACAAAGUCCUCAAGUUGAAGAAAGCAUUAUAUGGUUUGAAGCAGGCACCAAGGGCUUGGUUUAGCAGGAUUGAAACAUAUUUCGUGAAGGAAGGUUUUGCUCGAUGUCCAAGUGAGCAUACUCUGUUUGUUAAAAUUCAAGAAGACAAGAAAAUUCUGAUAGUAUGCAUAUACGUAGAUGAUUUGGUGUUCACUGGAAGUGAUGAGGGGAUGUUUGCUGUUUUCAAAGCUUCGAUGAAACGAGAGUUUGAUAUGACUGAUUUAGGAAAAAUGAAGUUCUUCCUUGGAGUAGAAGUUGUGCAGAAUGAUGAAGGAAUUUAUCUAAGCCAAAGAAAAUAUGCACUUGAAGUACUAGAGAGGUUUGGCUUAGAAAAGGCAAAUUCAGUUCGCAAUCCAAUGAUACCAGGUAUGAAGCUGAUGAGAAAUGAAGAUGGCGAGCAAGUGGAUGUGACUCAAUACAAACAAAUGGUUGGAAGUCUCAUGUAUUUAUCAGUAAUCAGGCCAGAUCUCAUGUUUGGGAUUGGUCUGAUUAGUAGAUACAUGGAGAGACCUACAACUCUACAUAUACAGGCUAUUAAGAGAAUUUUGAGAUAUGUGAAGGGAUCUGUGAACUUGGGCAUCCAUUAUAGAAGAGAAGCUGCAAGUGAUGAAAGAUUAAUGGCCUACUCUGAUAGUGACUAUGCCGGGGAUCAAGAUGAUCGUAGGAGUACUUUGGGAUAUGUUUUUAUGCUAAGUGAAGGAGCAGUUGCUUGGAGCUCCAAGAAACAACCGGUAGUCUCUUUAUCAACAAUUGAGGCAGAAUUUAUAUCUGCAGCUCAUUGUGCGUGUCAAGCAGUAUGGAUGAGAAGAGUACUUGAAAGGAUAGAUUGCAAGUAAGGGACAUAUACUAUCAUACACUGUGAUAAUAUGUCUUCAAUUAAAUUAGCAAAGAAUCUAAUUAUGCAUGGCAGAAGCAAACAUAUAGAUGUUAGAUUUCAUUUUCUACAUGAGCUGUGCAAGGAAGGAGUAAUUGAGCUGAAGCACUGCAAUACGCAAGAUCAAAUUGCUGAUAUUAUGACAAAAGCUUUGAAGAUGGAUGCAUUUGAGAAACUAAGAAGCUUACUGGGUGUUUGUGAGGUACCAAACGAAUAAACUGCUUACUGACAGCAAUGCAGUUUAAGGGAGGGAUUGUUAGGACUAAGUCAGUCAAUAAUAUCCUAGCUAAUAGGAUCAAAGGAUUAGAUUUGAUUUAUUCUUUGUUUGUUAACCACGUUUGUAGGAGAGUCAAACGUGGGUUGCUUAUUUUUCUGAUUUCUGUUGUAAUGGUUUGAUUAUAUAAACCAGCUUCCAUUCAAUAAAGUAGAAUGAUCUUUCUCUUCAUUGUGAACUGCUAACCAAUUACUUAGAAACAACAGUUUGUUCAUGCCAUGGCCGAUGGGGUAACCAUGGCUGACAUCCUCCAGCCAGUUUAUGUUCCUCCAAUUGUCCACUCUUUCUUUCCAUUGAAUGGGGUCUUAAACUACGGGGCUACUGAUGUCUCCAAGCCAUUGCAUGCCUGCAGUUCAAGUCACUGAACUUGUUGGUGGCAUCUUUAAUGGCUGUUUAUACCAUGAACCAUAUAGUUGUUGAUGGCACAUCGUUUUGAAAUUUCUUCAACUCUUGGUCUGAAAUCCAUCGUGGGUUGGAUCACAUCUCCAAGCCUCCUGUUCUUGAAACGUUGGUCACUUCCCAAUCGUAGCUGCAGCUGCCUGAUCCAAAAGCAAUAAGCCGUUGCCUGCAUGCUUGAACCUUUUUUUCUCCAAAAAAAUGGGUGUUUAAUGGGUAGUUUUUCCAGGCGUAAGACACGUCAUCCACUAGUAUAUUUCCCAGUAUUUUCAGUCCUAUAAAUGCAAGGUUUGAUUUACUAUAUCCCCAAAGCUUGAUUUUUAAGUAAUUUUUACCUGAAAACAUUCAAGAAAUUUAAUAAAUCUUUUUUCAACCCAAAAUUACUCUCUAAUCACUUUAAAAACUGAAAAUCAAACCAAAUAAAAAAAACAUUACAAGCCUUAAUCUAUUAUAUAUAUAUAUAUAUAUAUAGAAAGAGUGCAAUCUACAUUUAAGAGGGAAAGUUCUUGCUCUUUUAUUUAUAUUGAUUAUUCACAUUUAGCGAAGAUUUGUUUUUAAAAAAUUCAUGUUUGCAUGACUCUCUAAAAUUCCCUACACAAGUUCGAUUUUUCUUUUCUUUCAAUUAGAUUUUUUUUUCUAUUUUCACUUUAAUCAUAUAUAUAGAGUCAGGUUGAGCAUCAUAUAUAUUGCACAAUAUUACUCUUCUUAAUGAAAAUAGGACGAGACUUGGCUAUUAUUUUCUCUAUUAACAAGCUUUAAUAACGUAAUUAUAAUGUAUGUUAAUGAUUGAAUUAUAUUUAAUCGAAUUGUCUAAAUGCAAUGAAUGUAACAUUAAAUUGACUAAAUUCUUUUCAUAAGGGUUUAUUUACUUAUUUAACCAUAAUUUUAAAACAUAAUCCAACAAUUAAUUUGGAUAAGUCUAAGGUCACGAGUCAAUUUAUUUUUUAUUUUAUAAAAAAUAAAAAAAAUAUUAUUUAAAAAUAAAAAAAACAAUAAGUUUUGAUCGAGUUUUUCUUGGGUUGACCAAGUUGCUAAUCAAGCCAGGUUUUUUAUAAGUUAUACUAAGUUAAAUCUCCUUCUAUUUAUAUUAAAACCGACCUAAUCUAGAUCUCAAGUCAUAAUUCAACCUUUUAUGGUGUGUUUAGGUGAGAGGUGUUGUGAUUUUUUUUCAAAAAUACAAUUAUUUUAAAGCACAAAUUACACCUCUAAAAACUAAAAUACAUGUUUUUAUGUGAGUCCAAAAAAAAAACUAAAGUUAUUUUCAAAUUAAACACUUUCUUAGUCUGUUUAGAUUUUAAAUUAAUGGAUUUAACACAAAAUGAGAGAGCUAAGUGGUUAUGUUUAGAUGUUUGAGAGUGAAUUUCAAUUAUUUUUUUAUUAAAAUUUGAAAUUUUUAAAAUUAUUUUUGUAGUAUUUUUUGAUUAUUUUAAUGUGUUGAUGUUAUAAAUAAAUUUUAAAAUAUAUAAAAAAUAUUUUUUUUAUUUAAAAAAAAACGUUAAAAAAUAAUCAGUUAAAUACUUUUUUAAUUUUAUGAAAUAACCCCCCUCUCUCUCUGUAUUUUCAUUAAAACCCCCCUUUAAGCUUACCAAAACCUUAGAGCUAAAAACAAGAAAGGAAAAAAGUAAAAAAAAAUGGCUCCAGCCAAGAAAGGAAAAGCGAAGGCAAACGCGGCCGUGUCAACUCAGUCAAAACCCACAGCCCCAAGUCCCCAAAACAAUUUCCCAUCUUGCAUACGUGCAGUCCCUCCUUCCUCCGUCGCCAUCACAAUCCACGCCAAACCCGGUUCCAAAUCCGCCUCCAUCACUGGUGGGUCUAUGCACACAUGCAAAAGGACUGUUUUGAUUCUUGUUUAGGUUAAAAAAUUAAACCUUUAAUGUUUUUUUUUCUUCCUGAUAUUGUAUGUAGAUUUGAGUGAUGAAGCGGUGGGAGUGCAAAUAGAUGCACCUGCUAAAGAUGGUGAAGCUAAUGCUGCUCUUCUUGAUUACAUUAGCUCUGUAAGUUUUUUUUUUUUUUUUUUAAUUUCCCUUACGUUAUAAGUUGGUUAUUCGUUUUUAAUGUUUUGUGAUAGAGGAUUAUUGGCUUAAUUUUCGAGAAUUUUACAGGCAUGUGUGAUGUUAAUCAAUGCCUGUCAAAUUUUUUGAUGUUUCGGUACUACGCAUAUGGAGAGAAAUAUUUUGAGUUGGUACAGUUUUGUCUGAAUUUUCUAGAGGAAAGGAGACUUGUAGUAUGAGGGCGGGGGACGAAAGUGGCCCUUUUUUUUCGUGGAGAGAAAUGGUAGAACGGAGUCUUACGGUUCAUCAAAUUUUACAGGCAUGUGUGAUGUUAAUCAAUGCCUGUCAAUUUUUUUGAUGUUUUGGUACUACGCAUAUGGAGAGAAAUAUUUUGAGUUGGUACAGUUUUGGCUGAAUUUUCUAGAGGAAAGGAGACUUGUAGUAUGAGGGCGGGGGAUGAAAGUGGCCUUUUUUAUUUUUAUUUUUCUGGAGAGAAACAGUAGAACGGACUCUUACGGCUCAUCAAAUUUUACAGGCAUGUGUGAUGUUAAUCAAUGCCUGUCAAUUUUUUUGAUGUUUUGGUACUACGCAUAUGGAGAGAUAUAUUUUGAGUUGGUACAGAUUUGGCUGAAUUUUCUAGAGGAAAGGAGAAUUGUAGUAUGAGGGCGGGGGAUGAAAGUGGCCUUUUUUAUAUAUUUUUGGAGAGAAACGGUAGAACAGAUUCUUACGGUUCAUGAAUUAAUUAGAGAGGGUUUUAUUUUUGUCUUUGGGCUUGCAUGCAAAAGGAAUGGUGAAUCUAUAGUCCUUAUAUUUAGCCUAUCAGUAUUUUGAUGAUGGAUUUGCUGGAUUCUAGACAUGCACAAUGAGUUGGAAAACAGCAUCAAUGUGCUUAAUGUAUUGAGUAUUUGGAAGCAGUCAAAUAUUGAUGCUUUUUUUGGGAUCAUGGCACGUGUCCUUGAGAUUAUUUUGAAAGAGGGUUAUGCUGGCACUUUGUUAACUUCUUUUGGGAGUUUUUAUUAUGAUAGUGUAUCUGGCAUUUUCCUAUUUCAUCAAGUUGGUGUAAAUAUUUGAUGCAAGUUGAGGAUUGAGUUAAUUUUGAAUGCAAAUGGUAAUAAUAAUUUUUUUACUGACCUUUUGAAACCAUGAAUUGCUAGGAAGAGUUUGAAACUGAAAGAGGAUGAAAGACUAAAUGCAUUAAGAGAGAGGAUGUGAUUUCAUGAGUGAUAUAAUCAACUGGGAUCCCUGGCUUAGCCCAAUAGUAGAUGAAAAGCUUCUCUCUUCCAUAGCGAUAAGUGUGAUUUAGAGCAUUUAAUCUUCUGAAAAAAUAAUAAUGAGGUUCAAUCACAACUGUAAACAUGGUUGAAUAACUGAAGAGUUAUUUAUGAAAAUUAACAAUUUCUUGUCAUGAUAUCUUGCAUUUAUGUAGAGAACCUCUGUUUUAGUACAACAAAGGUUCACAAGUUUUGUUCUCUCAACCAACAGGUGUUGGGGGUGAAGCGGAGGCAGGUAUCCAUAGGCUCUGGUUCUAAAUCGAGAGACAAGGUGGUGAUUGUGGAGGAGGUAACUCUACAAAAUGUUUUUGAUGCUUUGGAGAAAGCGUCCAAAUGCUGCUGAUUAAAAAAAAAGAAGAGAGGUUCAGUGUGCUUUCGUUACAUGAUCUUAUACUGAACACAAGGUAUUUGGAUAGGACAACAUUCCUAGUCCACGCUGAUGUUUAAAAUACUUUGGUCUGUAGUUUUGUUUCUUCCAUCUCACACUGAAACAAUAAUCUUUUUAUUUAAAACUGUAAGUACAGAAGCUGUAGUGUUACUUAUGAAUAUAAUGACUGAUGUUCCAUGAAUAUUCAAGUUAGAUGCUAAUUUAUUCAUCUUCACCAUGGUUCUUCUAGUUCUCAUUUUUCUUUAUGAUUUCUUCCCCCUUUUUUCUUAUGGAAUUUCACUAAGAGAUCAUUAUAGCUAUACUUUUGCACGACAGGCUUGCUAAUACCUAGCGACAUGCUGUGAAAACUAUCUUAUUUUGUCCUCCAGCUUUUGAUUAUUCUGGCUGUUUAUGCCAUUAAUAAUGCUAGAUUGAAGGUUAUGGUCCGCUGUUGUUAUUACCUGAUUUUUGUGUAAUUCGCCUGUAAAUGAAAUUACUCUCUAGUGAUAAAAGGAAUGAAGUGCAGAUAUUGUGUCCUGAACAAAAGGCUAGUAUUUGUUUAUUGCAGGAGAAAGAGAAGUCUCGGCUCAUACUUGGCCAGGAAAACAUUUAUCUUAUUCACUACUGUAUAAGCAUUUUGUCAUGCACCAACUGAUCUGUUGGUUGUUCUAUUCCUCUGGAUUAUGGGAGGGAGAGGGGGAGGCUAUGUUCCUAUGUGUAGGAAGAUCUGAUGGAGAUAGUGAAACAAAGGAAGAAAUUUUUCUUUUUAACAAAAACAUAUUUAGUGGAGUAAUCUUAUUGAUUAAGAAUCAUCUAUCAGAAGUGGAGUAUCCUCAAUACAAGUUGUUGCAACUCUGAAGAAUAUAUUGCUAGUAUUUGUUGAGACUUGAGAAUAACAUUACCCAUCUAGAAACCUGGCCAGAAUAUAGGUUUCAGUUUUCCAGCCAUAAUCCCGACACAUGAGAUAAGGUGGGAAACAACUUUACAGGCAUUAACAUUAGAAGAAAAAUCAACAGGAAGCUCCCAAAUGCUGCGUAAACAUAAAGGAACUCAAUACUAAAUAGCAAUUUUAUAAAGAAAAGGAAUACAUGACCUGAAAAAUAAAAUACAAUACUGUGCAGAUGAAUCUCUUAUUCUGAACCACAAAACGCAGCUUUAUAUAGCAGUAAAAAAAGAAGUAGGACUUGGAGGGAUUGGGAUUUCGACUGUCCCCUCCAACAUCAGGAGGACCUUUUUCAUUGAAGGGCGGAGGGAUGGCUCAUCAAGAGUGCACCAAAUUCCCACUUUAACCAUCCUAUCCAACUGUUUCUUUUCGGCGACUUCUUCACCCACGAGUUUGUCCAUAUCACCGUCCUGAAAACAUUGGUAAACCCAUUGUUCGAGAACAGCUUCAUCCUCUGGAAGACUCCAAUCCACAUUCUUUCGACAACAUGUGAUCUCCAACAACAUAACUCCAAAGCUAUAAACAUCUGCUUUAACUGUCACCGGCAUAUUCCUGUGCCAUUCUGGUGCUACAUAUCCCCUCGUCCCUCUAAUUCCGGUGAAGGUUUUAGUUUGGUCUGACUUCAGCAACUUUGCCAAUCCAAAGUCAGAAACUUUGGGGCACCUGCUUUCAUCUAUUAGUAUAUUCUGAGGUUUUAUAUCACAGUGGAUGAUCUGAGUCUCGCACUCUUCAUGUAGAUAAACAAUACCCCUUGCAAUGUUGCGAGCAAUUUCCAACCUUUCAGGGAAGCAAGGUCGUUUUUCAAGUGAGAAGAGUAUGUCAGCAAGGGAGCCAUUGCUCAUGUACUCGUAUACCAGGAGCCUGUGAUGUCCAUCAUGGCAAUAGCCGAGCAGACGGACUAGGUUUCUGUGAUGUGUUUUCCCAAUGACUUUCAUCUCAUUCUGAAAUUCUCUUUCCCCUUCAGCUAGAACUUUCUCCAGUCUCUUGACAGCAACAACCUUCUGAUUACUUGAUAUUAUCCCUUUAUAUACUGUCCCAAAUGAUCCCCUGCCAAUUUCUUCCUUGAAACCACCAGUAACAUUUUCUAGCUCUGCAUAAGUGAAAGCUCGAGGAGCAAAUUCCUCAUUCAAUCCUGUACUAUCAUUACUGGGCACCUUUUUAUAUGCCAAUACAUGAUAUCUGUAAAUGAUGAUUCCGCAAAUCGCCACCAUAGCUAGCCCAAAAGCAACAAAUGAACAACUUAUUAUUAGGAUUUUCCUGCCCGUGCCAAGGUUCUUCUCGGUUAUAGGCUCUUUUCUGUCCAUGGUGGAUAUGGGUCUGCCCACCUUGACGACAGCCAAGUUCGAACUUUCUAAGUUUCUCCUCCCAAAUCUCAAAGGAAGCCUUUGCUUUCUGCAGUACUGCCCAUCAGUGAAUAAUGCUGCUUCACAGUUACAGUCUUCCAAACAGGCUUGCUUACAAUUGUCUUUAGUUGUUGAUGACAAAACGGAGUAUGAAGCAUCUUCCCACUCAGUAUUAGACAGCUCUUCCAUGGUGUAUGUGCUACUUCCAUUCUUGUCUUUGCAACUUUCAGCAUUGAAAUCCCUCUCACAGCUAGAAGUCCAAUUUCCCUGGGUAACAAACUCAAAUCCAGGAAGACAAAUACAUUCAGCUUCCUGAUCCUUCAUAACACAAUAUCCAUUAAGACCGCAUGAUCCCUUGGGUUGACACUUAUUGCUUGUGGAAGACCACACAGCUGACCAGUUUCCAUUCCGUGUCAGAUUUUGUGAAUAUAAUCUUAAAAUCCCAUCAGCAUCAAGUUUCAUCAUAUUAAUUGUUUCUUUCGUGGGAUAUCCUCCAUCUGUAAUGUUGAAUAUGUUGAAACCUGUGGAAUUGAGCAGGUAGAGAUGGCCAUCCGGAUCAAGAUUUAGGGUCACAUUAUUUCCCUCCCUAUAAGUAGGAGUUGCAAAAUAAGCAUAUGGAGCUGUAUCUGGAGUAUUGACAGGAUACUGCACAAGGUUGCCAUCAUUUUGCAUCUUGAGUCGGUAAAUACCAGUUGAGAGUUCAGUUUGUGAAACAGGAGAAAACAGCUCUGCCCCUGCUUUGAGCUGUUGAGUUGGCAAAAGGGUAUCUGUUGGGUGGUCAAAACUCUGCCAUAUAAUCUCGCGAUCAGAAUUAUAUAGCACAAAGUUGCCUGAAUCAGACAUAGAAGCUAAAGAAGCUGGCUGGGAAGCAGAAACUAUCAAAGUCUCACCCCCUUGUGCUGAUGUCAGGACAAGCCUGCCAUCACUGGUGAAGAGCAAGGUCGAAUUACUGGGGACUGGGUCAUCAUCCCUUCUAGCAGCCCACACAACAGUCUUUAGUGAAAUCCCGGAUAGAAAAACCCCUAUAGAAUAGCCGUUGCGUUGUCGGAAAAAUCCAAAAGCAUAAAGACCGGAAGGCGACAACCAUGAGGAGUUUGUGAUAGGUGUUAGAGAAGAUCCUAGGGUUAUAUUGGUCUGUAUUUGAGCUGAAGCUGUAAAAGAUAAGGCGAGAAGAAGAAAAAAGAUGAUAGAAGCCAUGGAUAGGGAUUUAGCUCUUGUGUGGUAUAGGAGUGUCAAUAUAAAGAUGUCCAUUGUUCCAGCACUCCAGUCUCUUUCUUUGGUUUCCAGCAGUCAAGCCAGGCACUCAAAACAUAAAAGUCUAGCCAUAAAAUCCACCGCGUUCCCGUACCAAUUGGUGGAAAUCCUUGCUGUUACUUUUCUGCUUUCAAAGUCAAUGCAGUCAAGUCACUGAAAAAACUCGGGAAUUACUUGGCGCUGGUCCACUUUUUCCAUCAUACUAUCCCCCAUUUGAACAGCCAUUUGCUAAUUUCAGCAGGAUUAUUCUUAGUACUAGUUUUCCGCGGCAGAUUCUUUGUCAUUUGCCAUGUACCAUUCAAUACGCUUUGAAGACACAAUCUUUAGCUUCCUGCAGACAGGUUCAACUAGUUAAGAAAUAUCGAUUGUGGUGCCAAUGCUAAUACCCUGGCAUAAUACUAGGGCAAGACAGAACAGCUUGCUUGCUUAUACUAAUGUCCCUCAUAUGCUAAAGCCUAGCUAGCAACCUCAGUUUCUAACGAAAGAGCAUCUCUACAUGUUGCGUAACUAACAUACUCGUCGUGUUAUGGAUGUUUGAAGAUGGAUUUACUCUCAAUAUGUAAAUCCUAGCUAGGUAAAUAAAUAAUCCCUUGAUCAUUAAAACUGAAAAGUGGAACUCAUUGGACCGUUGAUUUUAUGAUCAAUUCCACUGUACGACUUUAUUCAGAGUACAAUUGAGGUGGUCACGGCAAGGACUGAGUCAAGGGACAACCUAGCAUUUGCUGACCUGCUCUUCUCAGCAAAAGCUUCUUCUCUCACCAGCUUCAUGCCAUGGUUGCUGAUUGGAGGGGGUUUAUAAUUUAUUUUUUACAAAUGUGCUAUGAAAAAGAAAAAAAAUGCUAUAAUAUUAAAAAAAACGAAUUUCCUCAUAGCUAUGAUAUUUAUAAUAUUAAUGAUGUUACACUUGUGAUGAAGAUGAUGGUGAUGUAAUGGUAAUGAUGAUUAAAGUGAUUGAAAAAUAUUAUUAGUAAUAUUUCACCAUGAGUUAAUAGUUUUAUGAUGGAAAAAAGUAUUUUUUUCUAUUUCGGAUAAUUAGAAAGAAAAAUAUUUUUCUAUUGAUAAUUUAUUAGUAUAUAUAUUUCAAAUGUUUAAGAUAUAUUUCAAAUAAAUGUACCUUAACUAUGAUAAAUGAUAUAUUCUCCGUUUGUUUGCAAUUUGAUUGUAAAGGAUUCCUUUUAACAUAAUUCUGCUUGAUAUACUCCAUGUAAUUACAAACUAAUUAGCUCAUUCUGGUCUUCUCACUUCUGGCAAUUAGCCAGUUUGAUGGCGACUUGCAACAAUGUACUGUCACCAACCGUUGUGUUGGACUUCGAUUCACCAAUAAUGCCCUGCAACUGAGCUUGAGCGAAGGAAUGGACAUUUGCAUUUUAGGCAAGGAAUUGCCUUGUAGAAUAGAAGAAGAAGAAGAAGGGGAAAAAACAAGCAAAGAUCCUUGUCUCAUUAAUUCUACUCUUCGUAAAGAGCACGUUGUUUAUACUUAAGAACACAUGAAGCUUUCAUGCUAACAUUUUCUUUUCUCCUCUUUAUAUAAUUAUAUACUUUUUUUUUUUUUUUUAAUAUCUAAGAUACUGUGGGAAACAACUUUACAGGCAUUAACACUAGAAGAAAAAUCAACAGGAAGCUCCUAAAUGCUGCGUAAACAUAUAGCAAUUUUAUAAAGAAAAGGAAUACAUGACCUGAAAAAUAAAAUACAGUACUGUGCAGAUGAAUCUCUUAUUCUGAACCACAAAACGCAGCUUUAUAUAGCAGUAAUAAAAGAAGUAGGACUUGGAGGGAUUGGGAUUUCGACUGUCCCCUCCAACAUCAGGAGGACCUUUUUCAUUGAAGGGCGGAGGGAUGGCUCAUCAAGAGUGCACCAAAUUCCCACUUUAACCAUCCUAUCUAACUGUUUCUUUUCGGCGACUUCUUCACCCACGAGUUUGUCCAUAUCACCGUCCUGAAAACAUUGGUAAACCCAUUGUUCGAGAACAGCUUCAUCCUCUGGAAGACUCCAAUCCACAUUCUUUCGACAACAUGUUAUCUCCAACAACAUAACUCCAAAGCUAUAAACAUCUGCUUUAACUGUCACCGGCAUAUUCCGGUGCCAUUCUGGUGCUACAUAUCCCCUCGUCCCUCUAAUUCCUGUGAAGGUUUUAGUUUGGUCUGACUUCAGCAACUUUGCCAAUCCAAAGUCAGAAACUUUGGGGCACCUGCUUUCAUCUAUUAGUAUAUUCUGAGGUUUUAUAUCACAGUGGAUGAUCUGAGUCUCGCACUCUUCAUGUAGAUAAACAAUACCCCUUGCAAUGUUGCGAGCAAUUUCCAACCUUUCAGGGAAGCAAGGUCGUUUUUCAAGUGAGAAGAGUAUGUCAGCGAGGGAGCCAUUGCUCAUGUACUCGUAUACCAGGAGCCUGUGAUGUCCAUCAUGGCAAUAGCCGAGGAGACGGACUAGGUUUCUGUGAUGUGUUUUCCCAAUGACUUUCAUCUCAUUCUGAAAUUCUCUUUCCCCUUCAGCUAGAACUUUCUCCAGUCUCUUGACAGCAACAACCUUCUGAUUACUUGAUAUUAUCCCUUUAUAUACUGUCCCAAAUGAUCCCCUG
rnacentral:lncRNA from 1 species